CCUACGGGAGGCAGCAGUAGGGAAUCUUCGGCAAUGGGGGGAACCCUGACCGAGCAACGCCGCGUGAACGAAGAAGUUAUUCGUAAUGUAAAGUUCUUUUAACAGGGAAGAAAGAGAAAUUUGACGGUACCUGAAGAAUAAGCUCCGGCUAACUACGUGCCAGCAGCCGCGGUAAUACGUAGGGAGCGAGCGGUAUCCGGAAUUAUUGGGCGAAAAGGGUGCGUAGAUGGCAUAGUAAGUCUUUUGUAAAAAUGCUGGGCUCAACCCAGUAGGGCAAAAGAUACUGGAAAGCUAGAGGAGGACAGAGGCAAGUGGAACUACAGGUGUAGCGGUAAAAUGCGUAAAUAUAUGUAAGAACACCAGUGGCGAAGGCGGCUUGCUGGGUCGAUACUGACAUUGAGGCACGAAAGCGUGGGGAGCAAACAGGAUUAGAUACCCCGGUAGUC
rnacentral:rRNA from 1 species